rnacentral:snRNA from 1 species
UUGCUUCAGCAGCACAUACAUUAAAAUUGGACUGAGACAGGGAAGGUUAGCAUGGCCCCUGCGCAAAGAUGACAUGCAAACUCCUGAAGGGUUCUACAUGUUA